GACGGAAGGUGCAAGCGUUGCUCGGAAUCACUGGGCGUAAAGGGUGCGUAGGCGGCUUGGUGGGUCUGGUGUGAAAGCCCCGGGCUCAGCCCGGGAAGGGCACUAGAAACUGCCGAGCUGGAGUGCCGGAGGGGAGAGUGGAAUUCCUGGUGUAGCGGUGAAAUGCGUAGAUAUCAGGAGGAACACCAAUAGCGAAGGCAGCUCGCUGGGACGUUACUGACACUGAGGCGCGAAAGCGUGGGGAGCGAACAGG
rnacentral:rRNA from 1 species